rnacentral:misc_RNA from 1 species
CAUUACACAAUUUAAAAUAUGAAGGCUUCGGCUGGAUUAUUUUUUAUCACCCUUGUCUUUUGCGCACUUGUUGUUUCCUGGGCGGGUUCGCCCGCCACCAGGACCACACCAUAAACCUUUUUUAUGCAGUUGCAAUCAGCGUCAGUAUAACAAAUGUAAAUCAUUUACAACUUUCAACAACGGAUCUCUUGGUUCUGGCAUCGAUGAAGAACGCAGCGAAAUGCGAUACGUAGUGUGAAUUGCAGAAUUCAGUGAAUCAUCGAAUCUUUGAACGCACAUUGCGCCCUUUGGUAUUCCAAAGGGCAUGCCUGUUCGAGCGUCAUUUGUACCCUCAAGCUUUGCUUGGUGUUGGGCGUCUUUUGUCUUUGGCUUCGCCCAAAGACUCGCCUUAAAACGAUUGGCAGCCGGCCUACUGGUUUCGCAGCGCAGCACAUUUUUGCGCUUGCAAUCAGCAAAAGAGGACGGCACUCCAUCAAGACUACAUUUUUACGUUUGACCUCGGAUCAGGUAGGGAUACCCGCUGAACUUAAGCAUAUCAAUAA